AAAACAAAAAAAAUCCAUGACACGAAGCAUGAAAUUGGAAGUGAAGCGAUUAUUUCAAUUUUCAGGCGGAGAAUUGCAGCCGCCCGUUCUCUUCUAAGUUAAAUGUGGAAUUCCGUAAUUGUUGGGGAAUGACACAAAUUAACAGAAAAAAUGAUUGGAUUGGAUUUGAGAGCGUUGUGAAACUGAAAGGAAUCAAUUAUAUCUGAUCAAAUGGAUGCAUUUGAUCGGAUCGGAGCACCUUCACGGCUGAAUCGGUUUUCCGCUUGGGGUUUUCGCAUUGCUUGCGUUCCUGCGGGCAGUGGCUGACAAGCGAAGCCCCAACGGAUAUCCUCACUUCAUAAGAGAACAAUUGCAUUCGUAGACCUUCACAAGCUAUCUGAAGAUUUUCAGACAAUGAACCAACCUCCUGUGAUGGAUGUUGGUUUGGUGCAAUUGUGUCAAAGUGAUUCAACCGAAAACCGAUCUGAAUUUGUUAAUCAUGGUCUUAUUCUCUGGAAUGAAACUAGACAGAAAUGGACUCAGAAACAGCCUCAAAAUCAAUCAAAACAGAUGUUUGAUCCCAAAUUGAGAACAUUGUCUCUCUGUUCGGCUACCAAGUGUUGGCCCUGCAGUUGGGAGUCGAACUCUAAGACCGUGCUUCGCAGCAACAAACCUUAUCGGCGUCCUAUCCCACUUCGCGAAAUGGUCGAAUUUCUGGUGGAUACUUGGGAAGAGGAAGGAAUGUUUUAGCAGAGAGAACUCUAAGCAACUCAGCAUAACUAUUUAUUCAAAAACUAUGCACCAUCUUCUUUUUUUUAAAUAAAAAAAUAUGGCACAUUAUUAAUUCAGGCCAAUCUUAGAACUGCAACUUCACUUGACUCAACUGCAUUCUGGCUUUUAUAUAUCAUGUCUCUGUUUCAGCUUUGAAGCAAAGAUUUGGGAAACACAAAGUAAGUAUCUUUGAAGUUCUCUAGAAAAAUAAAAUAAAAUAAAAUAAAAUCCCAAUUAGUUAAAAAUCCCAUGUGGUAAUUUUGCAUAAAAACAAAAAAAACCACAGCAAGUUGGAAGAUUCUCAGGUGGUCAUUUCCCAAUUAACCUUCACCAAUACCUAAAGAGAAGAGAAGAGAAGAGUGAUGGAUUUUUCAGGAAACAAGAAGCUAUUCACAAGUCUUGCCAUCACAGCAAUCUUGAUCCUCGUUUCUUUGAUCAACAUGGUGCCUCCUUCAACAGGUGGGAACUUGAAGGCAGGACCAAUGAACGAGAUUAAGCAACAGCUAAUUAAGAAGAAACAGGUGCUGGGAUCAAAGCCACCGUCAUGUGUGAACAGAUGGAAGAUGGCAGCUACUAUCUCCUCUCAUGGAAAUGCAGGUGUGGGAACAAGCUUUACCAGCCCUAGAGCCUCAUCAUCAUCAUCAUUGCUCAAUAUGUUAACUAAACCCACCCCGCCCCACCCCACCCCAAUAAACACGUACAUAUAUAUAUAUAUAAUCCCAACAAGCCCUUGAUUUGGUGUGAAUCAAUAAUGUCUGUUUAGGGUUUCUUUUUGAAGUGGUUCUUGAUCUCUAUCUGGUCUGGUUUGGUUAAUUUGUUUUUGUGUAUGUUAGUUCCUGUUCUAUUCAGUUUCUCACUGUAAUAUAGGGCCCUCUCUCUCGCUCUCUCUCUCUCUCUUCUAUUUGAUUGGACAUCUCCUCAGGUUAACUUUUUCUCCCUUUUGACACUCCAUAACAUAACAUGCAUCAUUGUAAGAACAUGGUCAGAAUUGGUGUACUACCCUUUCAUAAAAUACGACCAAAUGAACAAGGUGGUGUCAUGUCUGUUGGAGCCUUUGAUCAUUUCACUGUUUUCCACUCGACAAACAUCACUGUUUCUUGCAUUCCAUUAUUGCC